rnacentral:rRNA from 1 species
CUAGUUGGUGAGGUAACGGCUCACCAAGGCAACGAUGUCUAGGGGAUCUGAGAGGAUUAACCCCCACACUGGUACUGAGACAGGGACCAGACUCCUACGGGAGGCAGCAGUAAGGAAUAUUGGACAAUGGUCGCAAGACUGAUCCAGCCAUGCCGCGUGAAGGAUGACGGCCCUAUGGGUUGUAAACUUCUUUUGUACGGGAAAAAACCCCUCUACGUGUAGAGGGCUGAUUGUACCGUAAGAAUAAGGAUCGGCUAACUCCGUGCCAGCAGCCGCGGUAAUACGGAGGAUCCAAGCGUUAUCCGGAUUUAUUGGGUUUAAAGGGUGCGUAGGCGGAAUGAUAAGUCAGUGGUGAAAGCCUGCAGCUUAACUGCAGAACUGCCAUUGAUACUGUCAAUCUUGAGUACAUUUGAUGUGGGCGGAAUGUGUCAUGUAGCGGUGAAAUGCUUAGAUAUGACACAGAACACCGAUUGCGAAGGCAGCUCACAAAACUGUAACUGACGCUGAGGCACGAAAGCGUGGGUAUCAAACAGGAUUAGAUACCCUGGUAGUCCACGCUGUAAACUAUGAUUACUCGAUGUUUGCGAUACACUGUAAGCGUCUAAGCGAAAGCGAUAAGUAAUCCACCUGGGGAGUACGCUCGCAAGAGUGAAACUCCAAGGAAUUGACG